AUUGAACGCUGGCGGCAGGCCUAACACAUGCAAGUCGAGCGGAUGAUGGGAGCUUGCUCCUUGAUUCAGCGGCGGACGGGUGAGUAAUGCCUAGGAAUCUGCCUGGUAGUGGGGGACAACGUUUCGAAAGGAACGCUAAUACCGCAUACGUCCUACGGGAGAAAGCAGGGGACCUUCGGGCCUUGCGCUAUCAGAUGAGCCUAGGUCGGAUUAGCUUGUUGGUGAGGUAAUGGCUCACCAAGGCGACGAUCCGUAACUGGUCUGAGAGGAUGAUCAGUCACACUGGAACUGAGACACGGUCCAGACUCCUACGGGAGGCAGCAGUUGGGGAAUAUUGGACAAUGGGCGAAAGCCUGAUCCAGCCAUGCCGCGUGUGUGAAGAAGGUCUUCGGAUUGUAAAGCACUUUAAGUUGGGAGGAAGGGUUGUAGAUUAAUACUCUGCAAUUUUGACGUUACCGACAGAAUAAGCACCGGCUAACUCUGUGCCAGCCGCCGCAGUAAAAC
rnacentral:rRNA from 1 species